AAACAAUUCGUUAUAAAUUGAUGUAAAAAUUAAUAUUUGCUAUAUGAAAAGGAGAAAAAAUAUGAUUGAAACUCUCAAAUUUAUUUAUGUUAUGGUCAUAUUUAUUCCCUUAAUUUUUGUUAUAAGUGAUGAGAACCUUUUGUUUGUAAUAGAGACGAUAAUUGCCAUUUUAAUUUGUGCAUGUUUCCAUUGAUACCGACGUGUGUAGAUAAUGCAUGUCUCUGCGCGAAACGAAUACUGCACUGAAACAUGUUCAUUUUACUAAGCAAGUGUUCUCACAUAUGUUUGGUUUUAGAAGAUACAGAGAACAAAAAUUUCACCACAUGGUUAAAGUUAUUAUUUCGAUGAAUGAAGGACAUGUACAAAGAGAAAAGAGGAAGGAAACUAUGAAUAAUAUAAAUCAUAGUGCUAUAUAAAGUUAGUUUUAUUUAAACUUCAUUUGAAUUGUAAUGAUGUUAGUUAUGAUUAUAUAUAUACUUUUUUCAUUUCAUAACAUGUAUUUAGGGUAAUAAUGUUUAAUUACUUUAUGAAUGAUAUUAAUUAAAGAGUGAAAUAUGUUUUUAGUCCCUAUAAAUAUGACAUUUUUUAUAUAAUUUUAG